UCGGGAUUUAAAAGUACAAUAGUGGGACAGCAGGUUGAGCUGUCAAAAGCAGGACUGUCCCGCUGAAAAUGGGACAGUUAGGAGGUAUGGUUCAACCACCUGUCGCAGUUCCUGUGGGACCUCCUCCUUCCUCUGCUUUGGGUAAUAUGAGUAAUCCCCAUGAACCUAAAAUUUCCAUUCCCGACAACUUUAAUGGGGACAAGAGUGGUGGCAGUUACAUCCUUGGAGGGGUUACCUUUCCCAUAUGCUGAAUUUUCUGAUGUGUUCUCAAAAAAACCCGCUAUCCUCUUCUGCUAAUGUCUGAGUUAUUUGAUCAAGUCAAGAAUGCCACCAUCUACACCAAGCUUCAUCUUAGAGGUGCACCUAACAAAGAAUUUGCACUACAUUACUAACUGAGUUUGGUACUACCUCAGCCCAACACAGAAGGAAUAGAUAGGGGCUCCCAUUUCACAUGAAAACAUCCUGGAAUUCAUCAAAGCCUCAGAGCCAGGCAAAGAACCAAGCCUGAUGGCUACACAGCUAGAUACUAUAAACAUUUUCCAAAGAUACUCUCCCCACAGCUCCCUUUGUGGUUCCAGUCUCUCCUUGAGGAACAUCCCCCAACACUUCUCAUGCAGGUUGCUAACAUUUCCAUGAUUCACAAAGAAGGGAAAGAUCCAUCAAAUUGUGAAUGCUACACCCUGACCAGGUGGACUUUAUUCCAGGUAUAUCAAGGUCAAUUUAUAGAUCAGUGCCACCGAUUAAAAAACAAAUAAUAUACCCUAGCACAAUAUUGCUAGUAUUCAGUGAAGUCACCAGAGUGUUGCAACACAAACCUGUGUGUUUUGAACCAUAGAAAUCUGAGAAAUCAGAGAAUCUGUACAGAUUUUUCUUAUGUAUUCUAAAAUGCUAUAGUGGUUUUUACAAUGUGCUAUUUCCAAAAUAAAGUUAUAAUGAACUAAAA